UUGAUUCUGAAAAACAAAACAUGGAAAUGGAUGUCAAAGCACAUUAAUAUUCUCUAACACUGUGCAAUAUUCGGGUAAAUUUGACUAUACAUUUAUGACAAUGCUGAGAACAAAGUUGCUUUGUUAAAUGUAAAGAAAGAAAAUAUAGCGUGACGAAAAUCCAAAGUUAAACUGGAUCUGUCAAUCUCACCCUGAGCAAAGAGUCCCAGUAUCACCAGCAGUAAAACAUUUGACACCAUCAUAUUGCUGCCUGUGUCAGUGUCUGUAAAAGGACUGGUCACUCACUGAUCAGUACUGGGGGUCUUAAAGUGUGUAGACCAGUGAGGCAGAACACAUAUGCAAAGCACCUUCCUCUAUACAAAUCCUGUCACACACAGUUAGAGGAGCUCUGAUGUGUGAACAGCAGUGGUUCUAUAGAGGGCUGGGACAUGUUGACUAUUCAUCGCUAAUUUUAGCUGUUGUGAUGCAAGGACUUCAUGCCCCACCCAGCUGUGCUCGCUUUUAUAUCUUGGCACUCUAAAAAAGAUCUGUUAAUAUCCAACACACAGCUUUUGUGUUACUAAUUUUCGUUACAAAUAGGAUAUACAAUUUAUGUGUUAGAAAGUGAGACUUCUUAACACAGACUGAGUUAAAAUUACACAAAACGUGUUCUGAAUUAGACAUGCAACCGGCCUUAUUUAGACAUCAAUCUCUUGCUGUUUCAUAGGUAUGAGGAAUGCUGCCCCACCAAGGCAUAACUAGGGGAGAUGGCAUAGCAGUCAUCCCAAUAUAUGAACAGCUAUCUGAGAAAUGGCACACAUACAUGUUCCCACUUUCCAGCAUGAAUGAGCGCAAACUUAGCUAAACCUAGACUAACCCUGCAUUUAUAUUAUUAAUAAAAUUAAAUUAAAUAAAUACUCCAAAAUGGAGUAUUCAAUACCCCUAAAGAGUAGGUAAGUUAAAUGCAUACUUUUUUUAAUUCCAUAAAAUGAUAAAAUCUAAUUGUUUUCAGAAAACUCAACUAGAUUCUAGAAGAAGUCAUCCUUUUUCCCAGGUAUUUAUGCAAAAAAUGUUUGUGAAUUUUUAUCAUAACUGUGUGUGACAGGAUUUGUAUAGAGGAAGGGCCUUUGCAUACCUGUCCUGCCUCACUGCUCCACACACUUUAAGACCCCCAGUACUGAUCAGCGACUGUCCAGUCCUUUCACAGGCACUGACACAGGCAGCAUUAUGAUGAUGUCAAAUGUUUUACUGCUGGUGAUACUGGGACUCUUUGCUCAGGAAUCAAUGGCAAAUAUAGUGCUGACUCAGGAUCCAUCAGCUCAGUCUGUUCAGCUAUUUACAUGAAACUGUAGUGGAUCCCAAACAUGAUAGUGGUGGAGGUUUCCUAACAAGUUCAUACGUCAAUUGAAAUCAGAAUGAGUAAGCAGCUAUAUGCUGAAGAUUUAUUUUUCAGUAGUCCACUAUAUUACAGCUACAGUAGGCUAUGUGUAACAAUGUAUUGUUAUUUCGUAUGCAAGGGAUGUGUCAUGGUUCAGUGUUUCUGUUUCUGUUUUUCCUUUUUGUGCCACCUGAUGGAGGCACUUCAGUUUUUAAUUUCUGUUCAUUCCCUCGUUGGUUUCCCAUGUGUUAAUUGUAUUAUUGUUGAGAGAGAGAGAAAGAGAGAGAGAGAGAGAGAGAGACACACACACACACACACAGAAACGGCCUGAGGGCUAGAAAUUGUUUGCAGGGUUGAGUAAUAAAAUCUCAUGUGCAUCUCACAACUCUUUCUUGUGAUAUUGUGUAUACGCAUUAGUGUGCUUUUUAUAUUUUUUAAUGAUACUUUUGAUAUGAUAUUUUUUAAUACAAAUGAUCUAAAUUAUUGUUGAAAUGCUUAUGACUCAUAAAAAUGUUGCCAGAAUUGUUUAUUUGUUUAGAUAAUUGCUUUUAAUAAAAAGCUUUUGUCUUA